AUUGGGUAAUUACGGGUGUAGUGUUGAAAAACCGCACCUGAGGAAAGUCCGAGCUCCGCAUGGCAGGAUAACGGUUAACGACCGCCGGGGGUGACCCUAGGGAUAGUGCAACAGAAAUAUACCGCCUGUUUUUCAGGUAAGGAUGGAAAGGCGAGGUAAGAGCUCACCAGCAUACGGGAGACUGUAUGGCUCUGUAAACCCUAUCCGGAGCAACACCGUGGUUAUAAGGGCGUUUUACAUUUGCCAGAUGUGCCCUUGGGAGGUGGCAGUGAGCUGAGUCGGCAACGCUCAGCCAAGAUAGAUGAUUACCUUUAACAGAAUUCGGCUUAUAGAUCUACUUAU
rnacentral:RNase_P_RNA from 1 species